UACAGAGGUCUCAAGCGUUGUUCGGAUUCAUUGGGCGUAAAGGGUGCGUAGGCGGCCCGAUAAGUCCGCUGUGAAAGUCCAGGGCUCAACCCUGGGAUGCCGGUGGAUACUGUCGGGCUCGAGUCCGGAAGAGGAGUGUGGAAUUCCUGGUGUAGCGGCGAAAUGCGCAGAUAUCAGGAGGAACACCAAUGGCGAAGGCAGCACUCUGGGCCGAUACUGACACUGAGGAGCGAAAGCGUGGGGAGCGAACAGG
rnacentral:rRNA from 1 species